rnacentral:rRNA from 1 species
UACAGAGGGUGCGAGCGUUAAUCGGAAUUACUGGGCGUAAAGCGUGCGUAGACGGUUAUUUAAGUCGGGUGUGAAAGCCCCGGGCUCAACCUGGGAAUUGCAUUUGAGACUGCAUAGUUAGGGUGCGGAAGAGGGAAGCGGAAUUUCCGGUGUAGCGGUGAAAUGCGUAGAUAUCGGAAGGAACACCAGUGGCGAAAGCGGCUUCCUGGUCCAGCACCGACGUUCAGGCACGAAAGCGUGGGGAGCAAACAGG